rnacentral:rRNA from 1 species
AACGAACGCUGGCGGCGUGGAUAAGACAUGCAAGUCGAGCGCUGAUUGUGGGGUAGCAAUAUUCCGCAGUCGGAGCGGCGCAAGGGUGCGUAACACGUGGGCAAUUUGCCGUGAAGUUGGGGAUAACUCCGAGAAAUCGGAGCUAAUACCGAAUGUGGUAGCUGGAAGGCAUCUUCUGGCUUCUAAAGUUGGGGACCGAAAGGCCCGACGCUUUACGAUAAGCCCGCGGCCUAUCAGGUAGUUGGCGGGGUAACAGCCCACCAAGCCUAAGACGGGUAGCUGGUCUGAGAGGACGACCAGCCACACUGGAACUGAGACACGGUCCAGACACCUACGGGUGGCAGCAGUCGAGAAUUUUUCACAAUGGGCGCAAGCCUGAUGGAGCGACGCCGCGUGGGGGAUGAAUGGCUUCGGCCCGUAAACCCCUGUCAUUCGGGAUCAAUGCGCUUGGUCGAAUAUUCCAAGCGUUGAUAGUACCGGAAGAGGGAAGGGACGGCGU